rnacentral:lncRNA from 1 species
UUAUCACCUUUAAUUCAUUAGUGUCAAUCUCUGGAGGGGCUGGCCCACCUCCAGUCAUCGAACUAUCUCUCCUCCUUUUGUUCUCCUUCUUUCGAGCAUCACUUUGUAAAUCCAGCCACUUUUUCUUAACUUGAAUGACACUUCUGGAUUGUAUAUUGCAGGAAUUGAUACUGGAAAAAAAUGUGUAUAGUUUAAAAACAUACAUGUAAUUCUUAUAUUUAUAGAUUAUCGUUGAUCAUCCCCAACAGAUUGAUUUUGUCUCUUCAGCCGAUACGGCAAAAGUAAAAAAAGCAAUCAAGAAGAGAUGACCAAUGAA